rnacentral:rRNA from 1 species
CGAACGCUGGCGGCGUGCUUAACACAUGCAAGUCGAACGAGGACUAGAGAGCUUGCUCUCUAUAGCCGAGUGGCGAACGGGUGAGUAACACGUGACCAACCUAUCUUCAGGCGAGGGGCAACUUGGGGAAACCCGAGCUAAUACCGCAUAAUGUCAUUUACUCGCAUGUUUGAAUGACCAAAGAGGGCCUCUGCUUGCAAGCUCUCACCUAAAGAGGGGGUCGCGGCGUAUCAGCUUGUUGGUGAGGUAACGGCUCACCAAGGCUAUGACGCGUAGCGGGUCUGAGAGGACGAUCCGUCACAUUGGGACUGAGAUACGGCCCAGACUCCUACGGGAGGCAGCAGUGGGGAAUAUUGCGCAAUGGACGAAAGUCUGACGCAGCGACGCCGCGUGUGGGAUGAAGCCUUUCGGGGUGUAAACCACUGUCAGGGGGGAAGAAACCCGUUCAUCCAAAUAGGGUGGGCGAUUGACGGUACCUCCAAAGGAAGCGCCGGCUAACUCC